GCCCUAUUUUGACCUUACAGUUAAGUGAAGGUCCGUGUUGUGUGGUAUGCCUCAGCUCUCUGCUCUGCUGGAGUCUAACCACCAGACAUUUUGAUUUCAACAAGAGUGCUGAUGAAAAAUAAAUAAGCUGGAGGUAAAAAAAAGAGGCAGUAUUCACAUAGAAUAUUAUCAGGGCUGCUGUGUGACUGUGCCAGAGGUGACUAAGGGAAAAGAAGAAAGCAAGCUUCUGAAAUGAGGGUUCAGGAAGUAACUGAGUGUGGCUUCUUGGUGCUGCUGUGGUGACAGAACAGGCUACGUGGCCAAGGCAAGAUCUACUAAAGCUGAACAUGUACAUAUUUUAUGACCCAACAAUUCUAAUCCUGUGGCUACAUCCAAUCCAGAUAAGUGCUAUGUCUACCCUCCUGCCUGAAGUAACCAAAAAUGGACAAAAUAUAUGAAGCAAUGGUUUUUAAGGCAUUGUAUAUCAAGCAAUGAAGCAUAAUGACCCCUGAGAGAUGGGAAAUGAAUAAGGUGAGCCCUACAAUUGUACUAGUUUACUGCUUUGAGAGAGUUUCUAGGCUGUGGUGCACGGAGGAAUAACCCAGGAAGAGACUGGCAGAUUCCCUGAGUUGAAGCGAGUGCUGAGAACCCAGGGAUACCAAGAUGGCUAAAAUUCUUAAGACAGAGUACUAGAGAAGAGAGACACAGAGAAAACUCUAGAGAUCUGCAGAGAUUUGCCUAUGACAAUUCAGCUGAGUGAUUCCCAUCAUAUGUUUGUGAGGAAACUAUCUGAGGUUUAAAAAAUAAUCACUCAAAAUGAAUAGAGGAUACAGUACUCCAUGCUCACACAGGGCUGGGAAUAGUGCCUGUUUCCAUCAUCCAGACUGGAAAAACCUCAAGAUUCCUGGGGCACUGAGUAGAAUACAGAUAAAAGUCCUGCUUCAUUAGUGAGGAAUAAUUAGCCCUAGACAAGCAAUGCUCUAGUCCUGUACAACAAAUGUGGUAUGAAGAUUAUAUGGUAUUGAGUUUAUAAAAUAUGAAAAAGUAAAAUAUAUAGCAACAGUAGCAAAAUUUGGGAUGGGAGAAAUGAAAGUGAACUAUUGGACAGUUCUCAUACUAUACAUGAAGUAGUGUAUUACUCGAAGGUAGAGUAUGCUAAAGAUAUAUGCUAUAAACUCUAAAAUAACUAAACGAAACCACUAAAAUAACAA
rnacentral:lncRNA from 1 species